CCUGGAAAAUUUUAAGGGCAAUGCGAAUGAGAGUUCAGCCCAGACCUGAACCCUCUCCUUAGUUGUGGACAGGGCAAUGUGGCGUUUAGACUGGCACCUGGGAUGGCCAUUCUGCUCGAAGUCCAGCUCCGAAUAUGGCUUGGAUUUGACUGAAGAGGGUGAAAGUCCCGUCCGAGUAGAUUUCCUGUUUAUAGGCCAUCCUAAGAUGUUCCAGUCUUUGAGUCGGAUUGCUUGAGAAUGCAGUCCAAAGUGGGUGGUAAACUCCAUCCAAGGCUAAAUGCUGGGACGAGUCCGAUAGUAGACAAGUACCGCGGGGGAAAGUUGAAAAGUACUCUGAAGAGAGGGGGGGGCAGGG
rnacentral:rRNA from 1 species